rnacentral:rRNA from 1 species
UACGUAGGGUGCAAGCGUUGUCCGGAAUUAUUGGGCGUAAAGAGCUCGUAGGCGGCUUGUCGCGUCGGCUGUGAAAACCUGGGGCUCAACCCCGGGCCUGCAGCCGAUACGGGCAAGCUAGAAUUCGGUAGGGGAGACUGGAAUUCCUGGUGUAGCGGUGGAAAUGACGCAGAUAUCAGGAGGAACACCGAUGGCGAAGGCAGGUCUCUGGGCAUUAACUGACGCUGAGGAGCGAAAGCAUGGGGAGCGAACAGG